rnacentral:rRNA from 1 species
UGGCGGACGGGUGAGUAACGCGUGGGCAACCUGCCCUGUACUGGGGGAUAACACCUGGAAACAGGUGCUAAUACCGCAUAAGCGCGCUGUGCCGCAUGGCGCGGCGCGGAAAACCCCGGUGGUACAGGAUGGGCCCGCGUCUGAUUAGCUGGUUGGCAGGGUAACGGCCUACCAAGGCGACGAUCAGUAGCCGGCCUGAGAGGGUGGACGGCCACACUGGGACUGAGACACGGCCCAGACUCCUACGGGAGGCAGCAG